CUUGGUGUUACUGCGAAGGGGGGACGGAGAAGGCUAUGUUGGCCGGGCGACGGUUGUCCCGGUUUAAGCGUGUAGGCUGGUUUUCCAGGCAAAUCCGGAAAAUCAAGGCUGAGGCGUGAUGACGAGGCACUACGGUGCUGAAGCAACAAAUGCCCUGCUUCCAGGAAAAGCCUCUAAGCAUCAGGUAACAUCAAAUCGUACCCCAAACCGACACAGGUGGUCAGGUAGAGAAUACCAAGGCGCUUGAGAGAACUCGGGUGAAGGAACUAGGCAAAAUGGUGCCGUAACUUCGGGAGAAGGCACGCUGAUAUGUAGGUGAAGUCCCUCGCGGAUGGAGCUGAAAUCAGUCGAAGAUACCAGCUGGCUGCAACUGUUUAUUAAAAACACAGCACUGUGCAAACACGAAAGUGGACGUAUACGGUGUGACGCCUGCCCGGUGCCGGAAGGUUAAUUGAUGGGGUCAGCGCAAGCGAAGCUCUUGAUCGAAGCCCCGGUAAACGGCGGCCGUAACUAUAACGGUCCUAAGGUAGCGAAAUUCCUUGUCGGGUAAGUUCCGACCUGCACGAAUGGCGUAAUGAUGGCCAGGCUGUCUCCACCCGAGACUCAGUGAAAUUGAACUCGCUGUGAAGAUGCAGUGUACCCGCGGCAAGACGGAAAGACCCCGUGAACCUUUACUAUAGCUUGACACUGAACAUUGAGCCUUGAUGUGUAGGAUAGGUGGGAGGCUUUGAAGUGUGGACGCCAGUCUGCAUGGAGCCGACCUUGAAAUACCACCCUUUAAUGUUUGAUGUUCUAACGUGGACCCGUGAUCCGGGUUGCGGACAGUGUCUGGUGGGUAGUUUGACUGGGGCGGUCUCCUCCUAAAGAGUAACGGAGGAGCACGAAGGUUGGCUAAUCCUGGUCGGACAUCAGGAGGUUAGUGCAAUGGCAUAAGCCAGCUUGACUGCGAGCGUGACGGCGCGAGCAGGUGCGAAAGCAGGUCAUAGUGAUCCGGUGGUUCUGAAUGGAAGGGCCAUCGCUCAACGGAUAAAAGGUACUCCGGGGAUAACAGGCUGAUACCGCCCAAGAGUUCAUAUCGACGGCGGUGUUUGGCACCUCGAUGUCGGCUCAUCACAUCCUGGGGCUGAAGUAGGUCCCAAGGGUAUGGCUGUUCGCCAUUUAAAGUGGUACGCGAGCUGGGUUUAGAACGUCGUGAGACAGUUCGGUCCCUAUCUGCCGUGGGCGCUGGAGAACUGAGGGGGGCUGCUCCUAGUACGAGAGGACCGGAGUGGACGCAUCACUGGUGUUCGGGUUGUCAUGCCAAUGGCACUGCCCGGUAGCUAAAUGCGGAAGAGAUAAGUGCUGAAAGCAUCUAAGCACGAAACUUGCCCCGAGAUGAGUUCUCCCUGACCCUUUAAGGGUCCUGAAGGAACGUUGAAGACGACGACGUUGAUAGGCCGGGUGUGUAAGCGCAGCGAUGCGUUGAGCUAACCGGUACUAAUGAACCGUGAGGCUUAACC
rnacentral:rRNA from 1 species